rnacentral:rRNA from 1 species
GAUGAACGCUGGCGGCGUGCCUAAUACAUGCAAGUCGAGCGAACAGACGAGGAGCUUGCUCCUCUGACGUUAGCGGCGGACGGGUGAGUAACACGUGGAUAACCUACCUAUAAGACUGGGAUAACUUCGGGAAACCGGAGCUAAUACCGGAUAAUAUAUUGAACCGCAUGGUUCAAUAGUGAAAGACGGUUUUGCUGUCACUUAUAGAUGGAUCCGCGCCGCAUUAGCUAGUUGGUAAGGUAACGGCCUACCAAGGCAACGAUGCGUAGCCGACCUGAGAGAGUGGUCGGCCACACUGGAACUGGGACACGGUCCAGACUCCUAAGGGAGGCAGCAGUAGGGAAUCUUCCGCAAUGGGCGAAAGCCUGACGGAGCAACGCCGCGUGAGUGAUGAAGGUCUUCGGAUCGUAAAACUCUGUUAUUAGGGAAGAACAAAUGUGUAAGUAACUAUGCGCGUCUUGACGGUACCUAAUCAGAAAGCCACGGCUAACUACGUG